rnacentral:rRNA from 1 species
AGUUUGGAUCCUGGCUCAGGAUGAACGCUGCCGGCGUGGUUAACACAUGCAAGUCGAACGGUGAACACGGAGCUUGCUCUGUGGGAUCAGUGGCGAACGGGUGAGUAACACGUGAGCAACCUGCCCCUGACUCUGGGAUAAGCGCUGGAAACGGCGUCUAAUACUGGAUACGAGUAGCGGCCGCAUGGUCAGUUACUGGAAAGAUUUUUUGGUUGGGGAUGGGCUCGCGGCCUAUCAGCUUGUUGGUGAGGUAAUGGCUCACCAAGGCGUCGACGGGUAGCCGGCCUGAGAGGGUGACCGGCCACACUGGGACUGAGACACGGCCCAGACUCCUACGGGAGGCAGCAGUGGGGAAUAUUGCACAAUGGGCGAAAGCCUGAUGCAGCAACGCCGCGUGAGGGAUGACGGCCUUCGGGUUGUAAACCUCUUUUAGCAGGGAAGAAGCGAAAGUGACGGUACCUGCAGAAAAAGCGCCGGCUAACUACGUGCCAGCAGCCGCGGUAAUACGUAGGGCGCAAGCGUUAUCCGGAAUUAUUGGGCGUAAAGAGCUCGUAGGCGGUUUGUCGCGUCUGCUGUGAAAUCCCGAGGCUCAACCUCGGGCCUGCAGUGGGUACGGGCAGACUAGAGUGCGGUAGGGGAGAUUGGAAUUCCUGGUGUAGCGGUGGAAUGCGCAGAUAUCAGGAGGAACACCGAUGGCGAAGGCAGAUCUCUGGGCCGUAACUGACGCUGAGGAGCGAAAGGGUGGGGAGCAAACAGGCUUAGAUACCCUGGUAGUCCACCCCGUAAACGUUGGGAACUAGUUGUGGGGUCCAUUCCACGGAUUCCGUGACGCAGCUAACGCAUUAAGUUCCCCGCCUGGGGGAGUACGGCCGCAAGGCUAAAACUCAAAGGAAUUGACGGGGAACCCGCCACAAGCGGCGGAGCAUGCGGAUUAAUUCGAUGCAA